GUACACGUAAUGGCACUGGAAGAAUUCACGGGUAUGAUUUAAUAUCCCCGUGUUCUGGCAGUGGCAUCCCUGGUAC
ncrna:Culex quinquefasciatus (southern house mosquito) microRNA cqu-mir-263 precursor